AUUGAACGCUGGCGGCAUGCCUUACACAUGCAAGUCGAACGGCAGCACGGGAGCUUGCUCCUGGUGGCGAGUGGCGAACGGGUGAGUAAUACAUCGGAACGUACCCUGAAGUGGGGGAUAACGUAGCGAAAGUUACGCUAAUACCGCAUAUUCUGUGAGCAGGAAAGAGGGGGAGUCGCAAGACCUCUUGCUUUAGGAGCGGCCGAUGUCGGAUUAGCUAGUUGGUGAGGUAAAGGCUCACCAAGGCGACGAUCCGUAGCGGGUCUGAGAGGAUGAUCCGCCACACUGGGACUGAGACACGGCCCAGACUCCUACGGGAGGCAGCAG
rnacentral:rRNA from 1 species